UACGUAGGGGGCUAGCGUUGUCCGGAAUCAUUGGGCGUAAAGCGCGUGUAGGCGGUCCGGUAAGUCCGCUGUGAAAGUCGGGGGCUCAACCCUCGGAUGCCGGUGGAUACUGUCGGGCUUGAGUACGGAAGAGGCGAGUGGAAUUCCUGGUGUAGCGGUGAAAUGCGCAGAUAUCUGGAGGAACACCGGUGGCGAAGGCGGCAUUCUGGACUGUAACUGACACUGAGGAACGAAAGCCAGGGGAGCAAACGGG
rnacentral:rRNA from 1 species